rnacentral:rRNA from 1 species
AGAGUUUGAUCCAUGGCUCAGAACGAACGCUGGCGGCAGGCCUAACACAUGCAAGUCGAGCGAGAUCUUCGGGUCUAGCGGCGGACGGGUGAGUAACGCGUGGGAAUAUGCCCUUCUCUACGGAAUAGCCCCGGGAAACUGGGAGUAAUACCGUAUACGCCCUUUGGGGGAAAGAUUUAUCGGAGAAGGAUUAGCCCGCGUUGGAUUAGGUAGUUGGUGGGGUAAUGGCCUACCAAGCCGACGAUCCAUAGCUGGUUUGAGAGGAUGAUCAGCCACACUGGGACUGAGACACGGCCCAGACUCCUACGGGAGGCAGCAGUGGGGAAUCUUAGACAAUGGGGGCAACCCUGAUCUAGCCAUGCCGCGUGAGUGAUGAAGGCCUUAG